UACCUAUCUUGUGUUCUAAAUAAAGAACAUGCCUUUUUAAUAGGGGUGAGUAGCGGAUAUCACUACAACAAAAAAGGUCUAUGGUGACGAAAACGCAUGACGAAAAAAUAUUUCGUCUCCAAAUAUACAUGUUUUAGUGAUGAAAAUAAGAUUGUCUCCAAUUGUACUGUUUUUAGAGACGAAAACAAAAUUUCGUCACCAAAUGCUUAAAGAAAAUAAAAUAAUAGGUGACGAGAAAAAUUUUCAUCUCUAAAUUUUAUUUUUCGUCGCAAAUCAAAUUCCUGCCCAUAGAAAUUUUGGUGAAAAUUUUGGGCACCAUAUUAUAGAGGAAAAGUUUCAUCACCAUUGUAAAAAUUUUCAGAGACAAAUAUAAUUUCGACACCUAUAAUUUUAGGGAACAAAACGACGCUGUUUUGUCUUCCCAAAUCACUCUACCCAAAUCACUCCUCUCUCGCACUCUUUCUCUCACUCUCUCACCCAGUCUCGUCUCUCUCUGGUCUGAGCUCGUGAAACAUUCUCACCGAUCUCUUCCUUGCCCUCACAUGCACAUGAGCAUUGCCGGAAACCCUUUCUCUCCGUUCGAAUCACACCACCGGAAGCCCUCUUCUCCGUUCGUUUUGCUUCACUGCUGCGAACCAAUGGAAGCCCUCUUCUCCGUUCAUUUCGCACCAGAUUGAUUCCUUGCUGGUGUUAUGAAUAAAAGGUUCCAAGACUAAAAAAUGGAAGCUUAUUGUCAGAAACAUUCCUUUUAAGGUUGACUUUGGCAACAGUCAUCUUUAUAUGUAUACUUGUAUGCAUAUAUGUUUGUACGUGUGAUUGUGUGUAUUUUGGAGAAGUUCUACCUCAAAGUCCCCCCACCCUCUUCUAUCACUACUUUACUUUAUAAAUGUAAGGGUUCAAUACAGUUCUCAAACUCCUAAGAAUAAAAUCUGAUUCUGGAGGUCCACAUUGGUCUAUUGGUGAUGACAUAAAUGCCAAUAUGGAUGCUGGGUAUCUGUCUUCAAAGGUCAUUUGUCUCAUCGAAUCUCUUCAUUACAGAUUCGAGAUUUGAUACGGACAUGUUUGGUAAUUUGGAGGGCAAAUAGUAGCUCAUUUUG